rnacentral:rRNA from 1 species
GAGUAACGCGUGAGUAACCUGCCUUCAAGAGGGGGAUAACAUUCUGAAAAGAAUGCUAAUACCGCAUGACAUAUCGGAACCACAUGGUUUUGAUAUCAAAGAUUUUUAUCGCUUGAAGAUGGACUCGCGUCCGAUUAGUUAGUUGGUGAGGUAACGGCUCACCAAGACCGCGAUCGGUAGCCGGACUGAGAGGUUGAACGGCCACAUUGGGACUGAGACACGGCCCAGACUCCUACGGGAGGCAGCAUG